rnacentral:rRNA from 1 species
UACGUAGGGUGCGAGCGUUAAUCGGAAUUACUGGGCGUAAAGCGUGCGCAGGCGGUGAUGUAAGACCGAUGUGAAAUCCCCGGGCUCAACCUGGGAACUGCAUUCGAGACUGCCUUGCUAGAGUAUGGGAGAGGGAAGUGGAAUUUCCGGUGUAGCAGUGAAAUGCGUAGAUAUCAAGUGGAACACCAGUGGCGAAGGCGAGUCCCUGGACAACUCCUGACACUGAGGCACGAAAGCUAGGGGAGCAAACAGG